GUUGCAGAUAAACCAAACAGUGAUUUCAGGGCACUGCCUCACCAGACAGAGUCACUUGUAACUGCUGAGGAAGGUUACAAUGAAGCAAUCAGGAACCAGUCACAGAUUUACAAAGACCAAAAGGACACCAGAGGACACCAGGAGCAUACUGCUAAUUUGCAAACAGCACCUGAUGUACGUCAACCACCUCAAAGUACAAACUGCAAUGCAUUACAGGACUCUGAAGGGGAUGAGCUCCUCUACCCAGGGGCACCUCUCUCCAAAGGACAGAGUCUGCUUCUUUUGAUGGCGUACAUUUUGAGACACAACCUGACAGGGAUAGCCCUUGAACAUCUUCUCAAAAUGUUCAAUGAACAUUUCCCAGGAUCAAUGCCUGCAACUUCUUACCUGUUCCAUAAGGCCUAUGGACAGUAUGGACAGUAUGAAGCACAUUUUUACUGUUCUAGAUGCACAAGCUACAUAGGUAAUGGUACUGAUCAGACACAGUGUACAAUAUGUCACAUGUCAUUUGAUGCAGACACUAAUUUGAGAAAUGGGUCAUAUUUUCUUGUUUUGAAUUUAUCCUCCCAAAUUAAGGACAUUCUUAAAAAUCCCCAGACAGCUUUAGCAAGGAAUGUAUCACCCAGUGGUGUUUUUAAUGAUAUACAUUCAGGAACGCAGUAUGAGAAGCUAAUCAGGAGUGGUGAAACUAGUAAAGAUGACAUAAGUCUAUUGUGGAACUGUGAUGGUAUCCCUGUUUUCAAGAGUUCCAAGUGUCAGCUAUGGCCCAUUCAGUGUCAGAUUAUUGAACUGAAUCCGAAAGAUCGGAAAAGUAAUGUUUGCAUACCAUGUAUUUGGUGUGGUGAGGUGAAACCCAACAUGACAACUCUGUUAACUCCAUUUGUUGAUCAGCUACAAGAAUUGGAGAAAAAUGGAAUAAAAUGGAUAGACACAGAGAACCAACAGCAUUCAU